rnacentral:misc_RNA from 1 species
GAUGAAGAACGCAGCGAACGUGCGAAACGUAAUGUGAAUUGCAGAAUUCAGUGAAUCAUCGAAUCUUUGAACGCAUCUUGCGCCCCUUGGUAUUCCGAGGAGCAUGCCUGUUUGAGUGUCAUGAAGUCAUCAAUUUCAAUCUUUUUUGUUUGAAAUUGGAUUUGGGUGUUGUUAUGGAUCAUCUAUAACUCAUCCUAAAUAUAUUAGCAGAUCUGCCUUUGAUCACACGCAAUGUGAUAAGAAAAAAGCAUUGUUAGGAUCAAGUCAGGACUUGGCUUCUAAUCGUCGAAAGACAAAUGUGUCAUUAAGACCUCAGAUCAGGUAGGACUACCCGCUGAACUUAAGCAUAUCAAUAAGCGGAGGA